rnacentral:rRNA from 1 species
UACUCCUACGGGAGGCAGCAGUCGGGAAUCUUCGGCAAUGGGCGCAAGCCUGACCGAGCAACGCCGCGUGGGUGAGGACGGCCUUCGGGUUGUAAAGCCCUGUCCUCGGGGACGAAACAAAUGACGGUACCCGAGGAGGAAGCCCCGGCUAACUACGUG